rnacentral:rRNA from 1 species
UACGGAGGGGGGCUAGCGUUGUUCGGAAUUACUGGGCGUAAAGCGCACGUAGGCGGCUUGUCACGUCGGGUGUGAAAGCCCGGGGCUUAACCCCGGGUCUGCAUCCGAUACGGGCAGGCUAGAGUGUGGUAGGGGAGAUCGGAAUUCCUGGUGUAGCGGUGAAAUGCGCAGAUAUCAGGAGGAACACCGGUGGCGAAGGCGGAUCUCUGGGCCAUUACUGACGCUGAGGAGCGAAAGCGUGGGGAGCGAACAGG